rnacentral:rRNA from 1 species
UACGUAGGGCGCAAGCGUUAUCCGGAAUUAUUGGGCGUAAAGAGCUCGUAGGCGGUUUGUCGCGUCUGCUGUGAAAGACCGGGGCUCAACUCCGGUUCUGCAGUGGGUACGGGCAGACUAGAGUGCAGUAGGGGAGACUGGAAUUCCUGGUGUAGCGGUGAAAUGCGCAGAUAUCAGGAGGAACACCGGUGGCGAAGGCGGGUCUCUGGGCCGAAACUGACGCUGAGGAGCGAAAGCGUGGGGAGCGAACAGG